rnacentral:rRNA from 1 species
GGUGAACGCUGGCGGCGUGCCUAACACAUGCAAGUCGAGCGGUGCAGUUUGAAGCUUCGGUGGAAAGCUGCAUAGCGGCGGACGGGUGAGGAAAACGUAGGAACGUGCCCCUUGGAGUUGGAUAGCCACGGGAAACUGUGGGUAAACCGACAUAGACUCGAGAGAGUAAAGGCCGAAAGGCGCCAAGGGAGCGGCCUGCGGCCCAUCAGGUAGUUGGUAGUGUAAAGGACUACCAAGCCGACGACGGGUAGCCGGUCUGAGAGGAUGGCCGGCCACAAGGGCACUGAGAGACGGGCCCUACUCCUACGGGAGGCAGCAGUGGGGGAGUUUUGGACAAUGGGCGAAAGCCUGAUCCAGCGACGCCGCGUGGAGGACGAAGCCCUUCGGGGUGUAAACUCCUUUUCUCAGGGAAAAAGGAUGAUGGUACCUGAGGAAUAAGCCCCGGCUAACUACGUG